CCGCUGGGGGGUAGAAUCGUUUCUGAUCACGGCCAAGUUUGGGGUGCGCCUAUUAUACGCGGAAUUAAAGAAAACCGAAUUUUCCGCGACCAAAAUAGGGGUGCGCCCAUUAUGCGAGUAAAUACGGUGUAUAUAUAUAUAUAUAUAUUAGCAACUGGAGUGCACUAAAAAAAUCACUAGCAACUGAUAACUAUGUUAUGACUGUCGUCUUCUAUCACUCUUUCUGCCACUGUGUAUACCAUGACGAGUUAAGCAGCGAGCAUGGAAGCCUGGUUCCAUAAGUGUAUGCCCUUCUUCCUAUUCUGCUCUAAUAACUCCAGAGCCGAUGUGUCCGUACGUUUUGGAUCUGUCUGUGCAAAAUUCUGUGAAGCCUCGGCUAAGCACACUUGAAAGUCUUCUGUUAAAAGAAGUUCACGGAAAAAAGUGCACAGUCAAGGACACAAGAAAGUCUGCAUGCCUACCUUCUGCGAUGAAUCUUCACCACCCAGCACAACUUUGUCAUUCUAAAUUUAUUGUAACUGCUGGAGCACUAAAAAUGGUAGUAAUACUUAGAGAUAAAAUAUAUGGUUGAAAUGAAUAAAGUGAACAAGGGGAGGAUCUGAGAUCAAAUUGUAGAAAAUGAA